AAUAUUCUUUCAGGUAAUACCAGUUCAUCUAACUAUAGCAGCAAUCUUGGAUACAAAUCACAGGUAAAUUAUGUUCAACCAGCUAACCUUAGCCUGCCAUAUAAUUCUACCCCAGGAUACAUGCAGGGACCACAACAUGAUAUACCACAUUCAACUGUACCAUAUGAAACUCCAGCUAGUCAACAAGAUGGAAACUUGAGUCUGUAGUCAUGGCAACACAAGAAAGAAGGACCAAAGUUUUUUUUUAUGACAGUUUCUCUUCAUUUUCAAUUUAGCAGUUGUAUCAAAAUCUCAAAAUUGCAUCCCUAGUCAUGUAUGGCUUAAUUGAAUUGUUAGAAAUUCAAAAUCAAGGACUUUCAAGGGAUUUAAAGUACGAUAUUUGAGAAAUACAAAGUUACAAGAUACACGUACAAAAUUGAUUUGAUUAGUCUUAUGCACAUUUCAUUACUCAAAAAUAUCCUAAGACCAAUUAACUAAAAAUAAUAUGUGUAAAAUAGACAAUAGACAAUAAAACUUCAUAGACAAUUUAGAAAUUAAUACAAACACCUUAAAAAAAAUUUAAAAGUAUAUGACACAUUUACCAAUAAAAAAGAUGUAUGUAAAAAUUUAAUGAAAAAUGUUAAUAAUUAAUAAUUAGUUUACGAGAAUUAAGAUUAAAUUGGCAUAAGUGGAGAAAUAUUAUUUUGAUGUUCAGAAUGUUUCUCUAAAUGAUUUUUAUUACUGAUCAUUAGUCAAACUCAAUUCAGAGGUAAAUAAUUAUAGCUCACUCUUGAAGCAUAAUAAUGAAGCUUGCUAUUGUUGAGGGUGGGGGAAAUAUUGUUGGGAGUAUCUGUCUAACUUAUUACAUUCCAAUAUUCAAAUAUACAAAUUUCCAUAUCAGUCACAUAGAACUUUUGAAUGCCUUGAAAAAAAUUAUUUAUACUUUGCAUUAUUAUUGGCAAGCACCAGAGGAUGUGUCUUGAAUAACAUUAGAAUGCCCGUCUGCAAGUUCAAGGUGACAAACAUAUUGUUUAAAAUACAAAAGUCAGGAGGACACAUUUUUGAAUGCCUGGAAAAUUGACAUUUUUGGUGCCCACCACCAGGGAGAGUUUUGCAAAUAAGUUGGAAUUUUUGUCUGCAAGGUCCAGGUCACAAACUUCAUUUAACUUUAUAUUCCUAUAUAUUCAAAUAUACAAAGUUUUGUCUGAUUUAGUACUUUUGAAUGUCGACAUUGAUAUUAAUGAUGUUUGAUAUGAAUCAUAGUUGUCCACCACCAGUGUAUAUGGUA